rnacentral:tRNA from 1 species
AUUAAGAUGUCUGAUUAAAGUAAUAAACUGUAAAUUUAUAUAUGGAAUUAUUUUCCUCUUAAUA